AGGGCGUUCGGAGGCGAGGAACCGUGAGUCCCAAGAUGGGCGCCAAGGGACACGGGGAGCCAGUGGCGCAACCGGCCGGACGCAUG
rnacentral:ncRNA from 2 species